AGUGAACGCUGGCGGUAGGCCUAACACAUGCAAGUCGAACGGCAGCACAGUAAGAGCUUGCUCUUACGAGUGGCGAGUGGCGGACGGGUGAGGAAUACAUCGGAAUCUACUUUUUCGUGGGGGAUAACGUAGGGAAACAUACACUAAUACCGCAUACUACCUACGGGUGAAAGCAGGUUAUCUUCGGACCUUGCGCGAACUAAUGGGCCGAUGUGGGAUUAGCUAGUUGGCGGGGUAAAGACCCACCAAGGCGACGAACCGUAGCUGGUCUGAGAGGAUGAUCAGCAACACUGGAACUGAGCAACGGCCCAGCCUCCUCCGGGAGGAAGCAGUGGGGAAUAUUGGACAAUGGGGCAAAGCCUGCUCCAGACAUACCGGGUGGGUGAAGAAGGCUUUCGGGUUUUAAAGUCUUUUUGUUGGGAAAGACAAGCAGCAGGUUAAUACCCUGAUGUUCUGACGGUACCCAACGAAUAAGCACCGGCUAACUUCGUG
rnacentral:rRNA from 1 species